rnacentral:rRNA from 1 species
UAAAGGCUCACCAAGGCGACGAUCCCUAGCUGGUCUGAGAGGAUGAUCAGCCACACUGGAACUGAGACACGGUCCAGACUCCUACGGGAGGCAGCAGUGGGGAAUAUUGCACAAUGGGGGAAACCCUGAUGCAGCCAUGCCGCGUGUAUGAAGAAGGCCUUCGGGUUGUAAAGUACUUUCAGCAGUGAGGAAGGUGGUGAUGUUAAUAGCAUNAUCAUUUGACGUUAGCUGCAGAAGAAGCACCGGCUAACUCCGUGCCAGCAGCCGCGGUAAUACGGAGGGUGCGAGCGUUAAUCGGAAUUACUGGGCGUAAAGCGCAUGCAGGCGGUCUGUUAAGCAAGAUGUGAAAGCCCGGGGCUCAACCUCGGAACAGCAUUUUGAACUGGCAGACUAGAGUCUUGUAGAGGGGGGUAGAUUUUCAGGUGU